rnacentral:lncRNA from 14 species
AGAGGAUGGAUUUUGCCUGAGCUCUGUAUGUAACUGCCAAUGAAUUACCGACUGUGUGAUGGGAAACCAUCACUUCUAAGCAAACCGGUACCGAUUUCGUACGAUCCCUGCUGGGGGGGGGUCAGUCCUUAAGGCUUCUUCAUUGCCCCCAGUUUACUUCGGAGACUUUAACCUCCUGCAGCUGGAGAACACCCAAAUAGAAGGGAAUUGGGUGCUUGGGGCUCACCGGCACUCGGAGGGGCCGAGAGAACGGGGCUGCUUUAACGCACCGAAACACCCGUGUCCCUCGUAUCGGCCCCUGCGAGUCGCAGCUGCAGCCACCAGAGCUCAGCACCAGCACCCUCUGGGGCAGGGAAUUUCCCCUUCGGUUUCUAUGCUAAGAGCGAAAGCCCCACACGGCCCCGAGGCAGGAAGCAAAGCGGCAGCGUCGGCUCCAGGCAGCUGAUGCGCUAACCCGAGCUUUAAGCUUAGCUCUGAAGAGCACAGGAGAUGAUUCCAAGGCCCAGGUGGGUGACUGCUGGCUCCUCUCCCUGCUGGCUGGGUAAAGGUAGGUGCCUUUCUGUGCCUCAGUUUCCCCUUUCUCUUUAACUCGGAGCCUGCUGGGUAUCUGUGUCUGUGGUGCCCCAUAGCCCUGCCUGACUUAUCCGCUGUAAGACAGCUCAUAUUCAAGCUAAUAUCCCAAUAAUCCAAGUUAAUACUCACUCUGCCCCUUCUAAAUCCUCCAUGGAGCACAGCAGCCAAAGCAGCAUCCUCAGCUGAGUGAUGAAAACCUGCCCAGCGCUCAGCCCUCCGGCAUCCUGGAGCUUUCCCCAUCACCUUCCUCCUCCACCCUCCUGUGUGCCUCAAGCUCAGCCUCUCCUGGGGCACACAGGAGGUUUGGAGGCUGCUCAUGCCCUGACAACAGGCUCAUUGUCGCCUUGUCCCUUAGGGGGGUUGAGUGGCUGUUUUCCACCGUCGAGCUCUCACCUGGCUUUGCUGGGAAGUCUUGGUGCAGAGUCUGAUGCUCAGGCUGAAGGUUCAUGGAGAUACCACCAUCCAGUGUUAACCACGGCCAGAGGACCGGAGCAGAGCAUCAUGAAGCACCCUGAGAGCCACCAUCCCUGAGACACCAUCACGGCAGGGAGGAAACCACAGGGAGAAAGGGGAAAAUGAGGCUUUUCCGGAGACGCUA